CCUACGGGGGGCUGCAGUGGGGAAUAUUGCACAAUGGGGGAAACCCUGAUGCAGCGAUGCCGCGUGGAGGAAGAAGGUUUUCGGAUUGUAAACUCCUUUUUUCAGGGACGUUAAUGACGGUACCUGAAGAAAAAUCUCCGUCUAACUCCGUGCCAGCAGCCGCGGUAAUACGUAGGGAGCGAGCGUUUUCCGGAAUUACUGGGUGUAAAGGGGGCGUAUGCGGGAUGGCAAGUCAGAUGUGAAAACUGAGGGCUCAACCUUCAGAUUGCAUUUGAAACUGCUGUUCUUGAGUGCAGUAGAGGUAAGCGGAAUUCCUGGUGUAGCGGUGAAAUGCGUAGAUAUUAGGAGGAACAUCGGUGGCGAAGGCGGCUUACUGGGCUUUUACUGACGCUGAGGCUCGAAAGCGUGGGGAGCAAACAGGAUUAGAUACCCUAGUAGUC
rnacentral:rRNA from 1 species